UCAAAAUCAACAUGCAAAUAGAGGAAUCAAACAUGGAUCCGAAUCAGGGUGAGUAUCCGACCAGAGAAAUAUGGAAGCAAGUGCAAAAUUUUGAAGGUGGGAGCAGACAAAGAUCGAUGGACAGUGCAUGAAGAUGUUCAAAACCUUGCUGGAAUGAAAGUAGCUCUCCCAAGGAUAUGGCAGCUUGUCAACAAAGUAGAAGGCAAAGUGAAUGAUGAUGAUACCGUUAAUUUCUACUUUGCCAAGGAACAGCAUCUACAGAGAGUCAUGGAAAACGCUCCAUACACUUACAGAGGAUGAUGGAUUGUCGUUCUAGACAGAUGGGGUAAUCAAGACUCUCCUGACUUCUUAAAGCAAUGUUCCUUUCUGGGUUAGAAUCUACAAGCUGCCAAGCGCCUACAUAAGAGCUGAUAUAGUGGAGGGUAUAGCAUCAAAUCUGGGCCAUGUGGAUGAGGUAUCCAUUGUACAGCCAACAAAUAACGUUUGAUAUAGAUGACGUCAUUACUCUUACAAGGGAGGUGGAAAUCAUGAAGAAUCGACCACCGGUGGAGCUAGACUGUAUAACGUAUUAACGUGUGGAAGCUUGAAGCAUGAGUUUGAAGUCUGUAACGAAUCUUCUCAGUUGACUCAGCAAAAAUGGGAUCUCAUGGAUACUGGAACAAACCCCUAUGCCAAGACCGCUCUGAUGCAAUAGCACAAUAUAUAUGGAAAUAAAGAGAAAUGAGCGAAGAGUAGAAGCAAAUCUAAAAAGCCAAUCAAUAAGGAAUGAGAGCAGGGGGAUAGUGAUCACAGAAAAUCUGCAAGAGCAACCAAGUGAAGAAUCUGAGAAGCACUUGGGCAAGCAAAUAGCUAUGGAACAGACUACUGAGCAGGGCAUAAAGAGAAAGAUGACUGAAGAGAUGGAAGGUGAAACAUCAAACGCUGCAAAAAGGAUUGUGAUAGAACAACCUCAACUUGAAUCAGAUCAAGGUUUGGUGGUUCUCCACAAACCACCACCGGCGCCAUGAGGAUCUUACAUUGGAACUGUCAAGGUUUGGGGAGCCCCUUGAUCAAGGACAAGAAGGAGGAGUUCGAAGGCAGAGUUAAGCUUGCAAUAUAGGCUGGAGGAAGAAUAUUGGAGGACGAAGAGCAGGGUACAAUGGCUUCAAGCAGGAGACAGAAACACCAGAUUCUUUCACUCAAAAACAAAGCAGAGGAGGAGCAAUAAUAGGAUCAUUCAUAUCUCGGAUGAGGAAGGUAAAUCUUAUAUGGAGGUUAAGGAUACACAUAAUCAAAUUAUAAAGUAUUUCCAGGAGCUAUACAAGAGUGAAGGAGUUACCAUUGAUCAGAGACUGCUUGAAGGGAUUCCCAGUACAAUAACAGAGGAGAUCAACGAUCUUCUCACUCAGGAAGUUAUGGAAAAGGAGAUAGAAGAUGCUGCCUUCGCUAUAAAUCCAGAUAAAUCCCCAGGACCAGAUGGGAUGAAUGCAGGGUUCUUCAGACAUCACUAGAGCAUCAUCAAGCAAGUGAUGUGGAGGAUGGGCUUUUGUGAAACAUGGUGCAGCUGGAUUUAUACAUGUAUGUCAACAGUGACAUACUCAGUCUUGGUGAAUGGAGAACCCUCAAAGCCUGUCACGCCAUCUCGAGGAAUAAGACAAGGCUGCAUCAGCUUCAUGGAUACAAAGCAUCAAGGGGUGGUCCAACUAUCUCUCAUUUACUCUUUGCUGAUGACUCAAUAGUGUUCUGCAGAGCUACGGAGGAUGAAUGCAGGGUAUUAAUGCAGACACUUAGAGAGUACCAGAGAGCAUCAGGACAAGCCGUAAACUUUGCCAAGUCAGCCAUCACAUUCGCUAAAGGUAUUCCUCAAAUCACUCAAGAAAACCUGAUGAGAAUGACUGGAAUUACUAAAAUAGGAGGAAGUGUUUAGGGCUGCCUGAGAAAAUAGGGCGUAGAAGAAAGGAUGCUUUCGAGUACAUUAAGCAAAGAGUGAUGAAUAAAUUAGAUAGUUGGUAUAAUAGAUUCUUGAGCCCAGCAGGAAGAGAAGUCUUAUUAAAAGCAGUAAUCACGGCAUUACCGACGUAUGCUAUGUCAUGCUUUCUGCUUCCAAGAGGAAUCCUUAACGAAAUUACCUCUAGUAUGCGAAAUUUUUGGUGGUCAGGACAAAAAGAAAAACAAAAGAUCUCUUGGAUUAGCUGGAAAAAGAUUACUGCUUGUAAACGGGAAGGAGGGCUAGGAAUAAGAGAUAUGGAGAUUUUUAACCUACCAUUGUUAGCUAAGCAAGGCUGGAGAAUCAUUAAGAAUCCAUCCUCUCUACUGGCCAGACAUACUACAAGCGAGAAGCUUACUACAAGAAGGAAUCAAAUGGAUAGUGGGAGAUGGAAGCAAAAUUAGAGUAUGGGAGGAUAAUUGGAUUCACACUCAACCGGCCAAAGCAGCUUCUGGGCCAGGUAAAGAAGCAUUCCCAUAUCUCAAGGCUAGAGAUCUAAUGAUUGAAGGGACCAAAAGUUGGAAUGAGCACCUUAUUAACAGCGCAAUAAGUCCAGAGGAUGCUCAAUAUAUCCUCAACAUAAGACUUAGCUCUGCUAUGAAUCAGGAUACUCCUAUAUGGAACUUUACAAAGACGGGAGAAUACACGGUGAGAUCAGGCUAUCACCUAUGCAAUCAAAUAAGGAAUUGCCUCAACUUGGAGGAUCAAGGAAAUCAGAGUGUGACGGAGGCUGAAGCAUUGCGCAUAGCAGUAACCCAAAUGCGAGCACUGGCUUUUGAUAAGGUCCAUUUCUUCAGUGACUGCAAGACCAUAAUGGAUGAGUUGGCUCAGUAUAUCACAAGAGCAACUACCCGGAAAGUCCGUAACACGGAGAGCAUCUCCAUGAUACAGGACAUUGUAGAAGCUGCUAAGGAUAAUGGAUUUACUUUCUCUUAUAUGACUAGAAGCAGCUUAAGUCUAGUAGAUGAACUGGCAAAAAAGGCCAGAUGUAAUAAUCAGAACUAUGUAAUAACUUGGUUUUAAGAAUAAACUAGAUUUUGAC